ensembl:misc_RNA Y_RNA Y RNA
GGCUGCUCUGACGGUAGUGGAUUAUCCGAACUUAGCAGUGUCACUACAAUUGGCCUACGACUCCCCACUGCUAAAUUUGACUAACUUAAA